UGUGUACUCUCUCAGUUCCGAAUUACGUGUCGCAGGUAUGGAUGUAUCUAGAUAUAUUUUAGUUCUAGAUACAUCCAUUUCUGCUACGAGUAAUUUGAAAUCGGAGGGAGUAGAUA
rnacentral:pre_miRNA from 1 species